UACGGAGGGUGCAAACGUUGCUCGGAAUCAUUGGGCGUAAAGCGCACGUAGGCGGUCUGUUAUGUCGGAUGUGAAAGCCCUCGGCUCAACUGAGGAAGUGCAUCCGAAACUGGCAGGCUAGAGUACUAAAGAGGGUCGCGGAAUUCCCGGUGUAGAGGUGAAAUUCGUAGAUAUCGGGAGGAACACCGGUGGCGAAGGCGGCGACCUGGGUAGAUACUGACGCUGAGGUGCGAAAGCGUGGGGAGCAAACAGG
rnacentral:rRNA from 1 species